UACGUAGGGGGCAAGCGUUGUCCGGAUUUAUUGGGCGUAAAGAGCGUGUAGGCGGCCAUACAGGUCCGUUGUGAAAACUGGAGGCUUAACCUCCAGACGUCGAUGGAAACCGUAUGGCUAGAGUCCGGAAGAGGAGAGUGGAAUUCCUGGUGUAGCGGUGAAAUGCGCAGAUAUCGGGAAGAACACCCGUGGCGAAGGCGGUUCUCUGGGACGGUACUGACGCUGAGACGCGAAAGCGUGGGGAGCGAACAGG
rnacentral:rRNA from 1 species